rnacentral:rRNA from 1 species
AGCGCAGACGGUUAUUUAAGCAAGAUGUGAAAGCCCCGGGCUCAACCUGGGAACUGCGUUUUGAACUGGGUAACUAGAGUGUGUCAGAGGGGGUAGAAUUCCACGUGUAGCAGUGAAAUGCGUAGAGAUGUGGAGGAAUACCGAUGGCGAAGGCAGCCCCCUGGGAUAACACUGACGUUCAUGCUCGAAAGCGUGGGGAGCAAACA